rnacentral:rRNA from 1 species
CCUACGGGAGGCAGCAGUGAGGAAUAUUGGUCAAUGGACGAGAGUCUGAACCAGCCAAGUAGCGUGAAGGAUGACUGCCCUAUGGGUUGUAAACUUCUUUUAUAUGGGAAUAAAAUGUUCCACGUGUGGGAUUUUGUAUGUCCCAUAUGAAUAAGGAUCGGUUAACUCCGUGCCAGCAGCCGCGGUAAUACGGAGGUGCCGAGGGUUAACCGGAUUUAUUGGGUUUAAAGGGAGGGGAGGUGGAUUUUUAAGGCAAGUGGGAAAGUUUGGGGGUAAACCGUAAAAUUGCAGUUGAAACUGGCAGUCUUGAGUACAGUAGAGGUGUGCGGAAUGCGUGGUGUAGCGGUGAAAUGCUUAGAUAUCACGAAGAACUCCGAUUGCGAAGGCAGUUCACUGGACUGCAACUGACACUGAGGCUCGAAAGUGUGGGUAUCAAACAGGAUUAGAUACCCUAGUAGUC